rnacentral:tRNA from 1 species
GGAAGCACGGACAGGGGCCGAUGAGAAUCCUCAUCGGCCCCUGUCCGCUAAGCAGGGGUUAGGGGUUCGAUUCCCCUAGGCUCCACCA